rnacentral:tRNA from 1 species
UGGCUCAGUUGGUAGAGCAUGGUGUUUGCAACGCCAGGGUUGUGGGUUCGAAUUCCCAC